AUUGAACGCUGGCGGCAGGCCUAACACAUGCAAGUCGAACGGUAGCACAGAGAGCUUGCUCUCGGGUGACGAGUGGCGGACGGGUGAGUAAUGUCUGGGAAACUGCCCGAUGGAGGGGGAUAACUACUGGAAACGGUAGCUAAUACCGCAUAACGUCGCAAGACCAAAGUGGGGGACCUUCGGGCCUCACACCAUCGGAUGUGCCCAGAGGGGAUUAGCUAGUAGGUGGGGUAAUGGCUCACCUAGGCGACGAUCCCUAGCUGGUCUGAGAGGAGGAACAGCCACACAGGAACUGAGACACGGUCCAGACUCCUACGGGAGGCAGCAGUGGGGAAUAUUGCACAAUGGGCGCAAGCCUGAUGCAGCCAUGCCGCGUGUAUGAAGGAGGCCUUCGGGUUGUAAAGUACUUUCAGCGGGGAGGAAGGCGGUGAAGUUAAUAACUUCACCGAUUGACGUUACCCGCAGAAGAAGCACCGGCUAACUCCGUGCCAGCCGCCGCCGUAA
rnacentral:rRNA from 1 species